rnacentral:rRNA from 1 species
AUUGAACGCUGGCGGCAGGCCUAACACAUGCAAGUCGCGCGAGCGGAGGACGGGUGAGAAAUGUAUGGGGAUCUGCCCGAACGAGGGGGAUAACUAAUGGAAACGGUGGCUAAUACCGCAGACCAUCAGAUGAACCCAUAUGGGAUUGGAUUGUAGGUGAGGUAACGGCUCACCUAGGCGCUGAUACCUAGCUGGUCUGAGAGGAUGAUCAGCCACACUGUGACUGAGAAACGGCCCAGACUCCUACGGGAGGCAGCAGUGGUGAAUAUUGCACAAUGGGCGCAAGCCUGAUGCAGCCAUGCCGCGUGUAUGAAGAAGGCCUUCGGGUUGUAAAGUACUUUCAGUCGGGAGGCGUUACCGACAGAAGAAGCACCGGCUAACUCCGUGCCAGCCGCCGCGGUAAUAC